AGAAAGUGCAUCAUAAACUGCAUUAUGAAAUGAGAUGAGUUUUGAGGUCAUGAACAUGUCACACGGAGGUCGUACUAUAAAACAAGCAUGGAAAGCCUGGGUCAAGACCAUGAAAUUACCAAUAACACAAGCGAAUGGAAACUAAGAGGUUGUGUGUGCCAUACAAUGAUGUUCAAAUGUUCAAAACAUCUUCACACAGAACUACAGACAGGAUUCCUGCAGGUGACCAGGACUGAAACUAAAAUGUGUCUGGCGCCAUCAAGUGGCUGUAAUAGGAACCUCAACCACCAUUUAUUUUAGGUAAAGGUAAUCAAUUGGAUACAUAUGAGUCAUUAAGCACCAUUUUAAGGCUUUUGAUUUCUUCCCAGGCGUCCAGGAGUUCCUGCCACAGCUGUCCCAGAGAUUUCUGUAAUGACUACCCAAAAGGUUCCUGUCAUGUAUAAGAGACAGUCUAUUUCCAGCAUUCCUUUAAAGCUCUGAAGGUGGCAGACAGGCACAGAAAACAGGGUUUUAUCAGCAUCAAAAGGGGGAAGACUGAAAAGUGAAGAAAUAACAUUUAAAGCUAGGAGUAACAGGGUUUACAUAUAGUUUCAAAAAUUUUCACACAACAUAUAUCUCAAAAUGAUUACAGUCUGUCAUACUGAUCACUCAUCUUGAUAUAAAACACUUUCUGGAAUGUGAAAGUACAUUGGUUGUAAAGGCAGCCUAGAUUUAUUCAUUCUCAGUGUGUCUUUAUUCUUUUCACCUAUGGUACAAAUUGUGCCUAAAUUAAAUUUUCAACGUUCAUUAAUGCAUCAAUUAAUUUUCAACAUGACAGCACUGAAUCUCAGCAGUGUACAGAGUUUGAGUAUUUCUCAGUCAAUGACACAACUCCCUCUGGUGGACAUGUUCGUGCAGCACAAGGUGUAUCAAUGAGGUCGUCUGUUAAAGCAACCAUCAGGUAAAUUGACCGUACGGUACAAAUGGAAAAUCUAGAGUCAUUCUUAAAACUCCUCAGGACAAAGUUUGGGAAACAACAAAAAAGUAAGACCAGAUACACUUUAGCACACUAUGAGCAGUACAAAAAUUGAGGUUAUAAAGAUUUUCAAUAAUGUGUCAUACACAUAGCCUCAGUGAUUUUCUUAAAGCCCAUGUUUUAAACAGACUGUUUGUUCAAGUACUGUACUGGGGAUGGAGUUGUGGGAAUGAAUGGUAAAGCCUGAACACUAGGUCACCAAAAAUGCUAAAUUUUAUUCCAAACCAAUUUUACAGUAUAGUUGACCAACUAGAAACUAAUAUUUGUACAACAUAAACUUUAUAUAGCUUGGAUUUUAUUUAAUAUUAUAUGCAGUGAACUAUAAAUGAAUUAUAAAACUAUAAGGAAAAGAGCUGAGUAAUUGCCUGUGCCCUUUCAAUUCUGAUAAGGCUGUCAGAUAAUGCAAGAUAACACAAGCAUGCAAUCCUUCCCAUAAACCUCAAUGAUAAUGUUAAGUCUUAAGUCUGCAAAACCAAUGCCAAAGCACCUGGAUAAAAGAUUAAGUCAAAUAGCUGACAGCUGAGAAAUUUAUAAUGAUCAGAAUUUUUUUCGUGUAAAAACAGUAGUAGUCCUGUCAUGUUAUCUGUCACUGUGCGUUUUGCUGCUAAUAUUCCCAGAGUCUCUCUCUCUCUGCUCCAGCCACAGGCAAAAACAAACUACUGCUGACCAUCUUUGAUGGGUUCAGGUGGGACAACGACCGGGAUGUGUAAACCCGUUGACUCUGCAUAAUACCACUGAAUAGAAACUGGACUGCAAAUCUGAGGCACUGAAGAUUAUAUAAAUGAAACCUACAAGUUUAAAACUAAAACAUCUGUCCAUAAUUUUUAUAUGUGCUUAUCUUAAAUAAUAUAAUUAUAGGAAACAGGAAUUAAAUACUAUGAGUGAAUAAAAUAUUUUAACUCAAACCCCUGAUUUCAAAGACUAUUACUUUAUUCUCUUUGUUUGAGAGAGAGAGAAGUUGUGUAAAGUUUUACUGCUUUAAUUUCCUGUUGAAAACAACAUAAAAGCUACAUAACUUGCAUAAUAACAUAAGUUUCACAUGGUCUGAAGCCAUUGAAAUAUACUCAUGCAUCAAGGAUGAGCAAAUUAUGAAGAAGAGAAAGGCCUCAAACAGAAGAAAACACCAUAGAGUGGCCCAGUUAAAGUCUUGACUUCAACUAAAAUUGAAACGCUUCGCAAGACCUAAAAAGAGCAAUUCACACCACAGUUUUAUAAAGGAGCACAGUACAAAAUUACUCCUGACUGUUGUGCAGGUCUGAACCACAAUUUAGAGGAUUACACUAAAUUAGAUUAGGAACAUGAAACUACAUGAAACUCAAAUGCAUUGCCAUACUCAUAACAUAGACAUUCCUUUGGGCCACAAAAUUACAAUUUCAAAUGUGCAUCAUUUCAGAAACAAAGAAGAAGAAGAAUAUGCAUAAAUAUUGUGUGGUUACAAACAAUGGAAAUACCUUUUGUCAACAAUGAUCAUGCAUAAUUUAACAUAACCUGGUUAAAGAACUAGACUGUAGGACUCCAUGCUGAAAAGACCAGCAGGAAUGUCCAAGCUGUUGAGUGUUGGUCCAGCUGGUGAAGCUGGUUAUCCAAGGAAAUUGUGCCAGAUAAGAAAGGCUGGUGGGAACAAAACACAGCAAGAUGUGCUGAUCUUUUCAGCACGGAUGAUUCCCAAGUUGGUUAAGAUCAGAAAUUAGUCAACAACAGCCCUUUACGCAGCUUCCAUUCUGUAGCUCACCUUUUGUAGCACUGUCUGAUUAUUAAAGUCCAAAUGCUCUAGUUUUUUUUUUUUCAUCCCAAUUGCACAAGCAUAGAUAAAAACUCACUUAGGCAAUGAGUCUAAUGACUGGUUACACACUUAUCUUUACCUUCACACAAUACAGCCUUGAUAUAAAACACAAUGUUUCAUUUUAUAAGCAGUGAGCUGUAAAUCUUAGAAACGCUGAUCAGAAAAGAGCUGUAUAAUUGCUUUUGUCUCAUGACUUCUGAUAAGACACUUGAUAAGAUAUCAAAAGAUAGCAUAAGCAUAUAAUUCAUCUCAUAAACAUCAAUAGUGUGA
rnacentral:lncRNA from 1 species